GACGAACGCUGGCGUCGUGCUUAACACAUGCAAGUCGAACGGAAAGGCCUGUCCUUCCUUGUGUUGGACGGGUACUCGAGUGGCGAACGGGUGAGUAACACGUGAGUGAUCUGCCCCCAACUUGGGUAUAAGCCUGGGAAACUGGGUCUAAUUCCCGAUAGGACUGCAGGGUGGUGCCUGUGGUGGAAAACGAUUUUCUAGUGGUUGGGGAUGAGCUCGCGGCCUAUCAGCUUGUUGGUGGGGUAAUGGCCUACCAAGGCGGCGACGGGUAGCCGGCCUGAGAGGGUGGACGGCCACAUUGGGACUGAGAUACGGCCCAGACUCCUACGGGAGGCAGCAGUGGGGAAUAUUGCACAAUGGGCGGAAGCCUGAUGCAGCGACGCCGCGUGGGGGAUGACGGCCUUCGGGUUGUAAACUCCUUUCGACCGCGAGGAAGCCGCCUGGUUGGAAGGGUGGUGACGGUAGUGGUAGAAGAAGCACCGGCUAACUACGUG
rnacentral:rRNA from 1 species